CAAGAAUGAAGUUCCCAACAAGCGCGAGCCGAAGCGUAACGACGUCUGCCUCAUCGCCAUCGACAUUCCCCAACCGCCGUUUCAAACAGGCGAGGCGCGUCGUCGUAGCGGUUCGGUAGGAUAUGACAUGUUACACGGAAGGGUCUUUGGAACCUCAGCAUCAUGCGUAUUUUGUACUGGAAUCUCGGAAGCAUCGAGGCAGUACUGGCCAGUACGUCGAACAACUACGUUGUGCAUAACAACGAUUGCCGUGGUGUGCGAGAGCUAGCGUUCCUUUGUUCUCCGGCUUUGCAGUUAAGAGUCUGGUGCGUAUCACUGACGAACUCAUGCGAACGACGGAACUGUGUGAGAUUGUGUGUGUACAGCUACAAAGUUAUCCACACACAACCAUGGAUAGCCUCACACAUGUGUAAAGUUACUGGUGUCUCUACAACACUGAAGAGCCAGGCAUAAACCGGAAGACGUCGCUUGGGUCUGCCAGUGAUUAGGCUGCUUCCGCAUAUAACCAUCUAUACUGCAUGAGAAACUGCGGGAUGACGGUUGCGAAGUGGCGUAGCAAUCACGUGAUUAUUAUUAUGACCAUUAUUGUCUUAUUAUGCGUCUUAUCCGUGUCACCCUAUAUUGUUAAUAAUUAGCCUAUUUAUGUUGUAAUAUCAUAUUUUGUACUAUUAGAAAGAGCGUUUCUUACAGUGCAUGUAACAUCACUGUACUUGGUUUGUGUUCAAUAAACAAGAGUUCUUUGGUACGAUG